UACGAAGGUGGCAAGCGUUACCCGGAUUUACUGGGCGUAAAGCGUCUGUAGAUGGUCAGAAUAGUUUUUGGUUAAAUCUUGAGGCUUAACCUCAAGACCGCCAAGAAUACUUUCUAACUAGAGGUUGGGAGAGGUAAGCGGAAUUGCCGGUGUAGUAGUAAAAUGCGUUGAUAUCGGCAAGAACACCAAAAGCAAAGGCAGCUUACUAGAACACACCUGACAUUGAGAGACGAAAGCGUGGGUAGCGAAUGGG
rnacentral:rRNA from 1 species